rnacentral:rRNA from 1 species
AACGAACGCUGGCGGCAGGCUUAACACAUGCAAGUCGAACGCCCCGCAAGGGGAGUGGCAGACGGGUGAGUAACGCGUGGGAAUCUACCUAGUUCUACGGAACAACAGAGGGAAACUUCUGCUAAUACCGUAUACGCCCUAAGGGGGGAAAGAUUUAUCGGAAUUAGAUGAGCCCGCGUAAGAUUAGCUAGUUGGUGGGG